GCUGCAGCUACUUCCGGACGUACAAGCUGCUAGUUGUGAAGAGUGAAAUUCAUAUUCGAACUGAGAGUCUUUUAUACAGAGAGAUAACUUUGUGGAGAAGAGUUUCCCCCUUUUUGUUAUGUACGAUUUGCUUUUAAAUGUGACAUUUUUUCCCAGCUCAUUGGAAGACGUAUAUUAUUUUCGUCUCUCAGAACACAGAAGCAGCUUCGUGUUCUUUUGCUCUCCUCUGGAGAAUGAAGGUGUCCGGACUGCGGAGCUUGAAAGCUUCAAGCAGCGGCUGUUAGUUGCUGUCGACGAUCAUCUGCUGCCGAGGUUUCACAUGUUCAUCGGCUGUAAACGACAGACGAAACGGAAGAGGAUCCUGCUGCAUAUGGAGACCGAGAGAGCAGGACCGGGAAGCAGGAGAAGCCGGACACAGAAUAAUGGUGGAACCUCAGAUGAAGAAACAAAAGGGAGGGACGACAUGGGAUUCACACACGUUAAAUCAGAACCAGCUGGCGACUUGGAUGCACCUCUCCAUCCUGACCACCAGAUGUCAUUGUCUUCUGAUUCAGACACUGAUGACAGUGAAGACUGGAGAGAAACCAGUGACUAUAAAGCAGAUUCCAACUCUGUUGAGGAGCCACACGUUGAUGUCAGAGAGGAGAUAGAUGCUGAUCACAAAUCACUGAUCUGCUCUGAAAGUGGAGAGAAAUGCCUCACAAAGGCUGGACUGACUGAAGACAGGAAAUCCUGCUGUGGACCCUCCUCUUGUUCGGUUUGUGGGAAACGUUUUGAGAAGAGAUGGAUUCUGAGGAACCACAUGAAAAUUCACACUAGAGAAAAGCCUUUCAUCUGCUCCCACUGUGGAAAAUGUUUUUCACAGAAAUCUCACCUAAACAAUCACAUCAGAAUUCAUACUAGAGAAAAGCCUUUCAUCUGUUCCCAAUGUGCUAAAUGUUUUUCACAGAAAGCAACUCUAAAUUGUCACAUGAGAAUUCACUCUGGAGAAAAGCCUUACACCUGCUCCCAGUGUGGAAAAUGUUUUUCAAUUAAAUCUCACCUGAAAAGUCACAUGAUUAUUCACUCCGGAGAAAAGCCUUUUAUCUGCUACCAGUGUGGAAAAUGUUUUUCACAGAAACCUUACCUGAAUAGACACAUGAGAAUUCACACUGGAGAAAAGCCUUUCAUCUGCUCGCAGUGUGGAAAAUGUUUUUUACAGGAGUCUCACCUGAAUAGUCACAUGAGCAUUCAUUCUGGAGAAAAGCCUUUCAUCUGCUCCCUGUGUGUAAAAUGUUUUUUACGGGAAUCUCACCUGAAUAGUCACAUGAGAAUUCACACUGGAGAAAAGACUUUCAUCUGCUCCGAGUGUGGUAAAUCCUUUUUACGGAAAUCUCACCUGAGUAGUCACAUGAAAAUUCACACUGGAGAAAAGCCUUUCAUCUGCUCUCAGUGUGGAAAAUGUUUUUCACUGAAAUCUAACCUGAAUAAUCACAUGAAAAUUCACUCUGGAGAAAAGCCUUACAUCUGUUCCCAAUGUGGUAAAUGUUUUUCACAGAAAGGAAACCUGAAUAGUCACAUGAGAAUUCACCCUGGAGAGAAGCCUUUCAUCUGCUCGCAGUGUGGAAAAUGUUUUUUACAGGAAUCUCUCCUGAAUAGUCACAUGAGAAUGCACUCUGGAGAAAAGCCUUUCAUCUGCUCGCAGUGUGGUAAAUGUUUUUUACGGAAAUCUCACCUGAAUAGUCACAUGAGAAUUCACACUGGAGAAAAGCCUUUCAUCUGCUCCCAGUGUGGUAAAUGUUUUUUACGGAAAUCUAACCUGGAUAAUCACACGAAAAUUCAUUCUGGAGAAAAGCUUUUCAACUGCUCCCAGUGUGGUACGUGCUUUUCACAGAAAGGAAACCUGAAAAGUCACAUGAGAAUUCACUCUGGAGAAAAGCCUGUCACCUGCUCAUAAUGUGGAAAAUGUUUUUCACUGAAAUCUCACCUGAGAAGUCAGGUGAGAAUUCAAAAUUGAGAUGGUGGGAAAUGUUUUAUACAUCCAGUCUCCAUGAAAAGCCACAUGAGGAUUCACACUGGGGAAUAAUCUCUUAUCUGCUUCUAGGCAAGGAAUGUCUUGUGUACAAGGACUGGCUGACACAACACAUCAAUAUACCACUGAGGAGAGAAUCUUUCAAGUGCUCCCUGUGUUUUGUACCAAAGGAACCUGAAUACACAUGCCACACUCCCAUUUGACAACCUUUUUAUUGUCAGACUCAUUACGGACACAUUGUUUGCACUGAUAACUGUAAAAAUACCAUCUUGAAAUCCUGUGUGUGUUGUAAUCCAGGCCAGAGUAGGUGUAGGAGGCAGACGCUGGUGACGCUGUUCUUGCUCACCAAAGAUUAUUAACAAGCUGCUCCAGGAUGAAAAAAAAAGCCAGGAAAAAAGUGAAAAGAAAAACCAUGGAUUGCAAGGAAACUCAAAAGUUAACUCAGCGUAACUGAAAAGACUGAAACAAUUUCAACAGAGAUUACUCUUACGCACUUGUGCAACCCUCUGCACACUGCAGCCUCCCUUUCUCUGGCCUGCCCGCUUCUCUCUUUUAGCGUUUGAAUCUGGACUGUACCUCUCAACGAGUAAAUCCCAAAUUCCACCAACAACCAUGACUCAUUUCUGCAGUAAGAAACAAAGUCCUCUGCUCACCAUACUUUGAACACAACCUGCCGCAUAACGCUCAACCUUGCUCCAUCACUCCGUCAUAUAUAAUAAAACAAAACAAAACACUUCCCUACCUUGGCCUCCCCCACAGUUGAAACUUUCCACAAUGUCACUGAUGAUCACUGAUGAGCCGCCACGUCCUCCUUUUUACCUGAUGGCCUCGUGAUGAGUAACACAACCAACAACUUAACAAAUAUGAAAUAAUACCUAAAUAACUGACAUUUAAUUGAACCAAUAAACAUCCUUAACAUAACCAUACUCGUUUUUUUUUAUUUUUGAUACACCAGAAGAUGCAACUCAAACAUAACCCGGGAUAGUUUGAACGCAUGAUUCAGGUUAAAGAUGGAAUUAAAUCAACCAAACAAGCAUACAACAAUAACUUGAUAUAAAUGAGACAAAUGGGUGACUCUCAGCCACUUUGUCGCAGAGACCCAUAAAGAUUUCAUCUGACGCAUCACAAAGUGGACCUGGAGCUGUUCUAAUGCAGAGAUACGAUGACUGGCAACCUGUUGCAUCUGCGUCACCAUCUAUGACUGAUGCAGAGACAAGAUAUGCUCAAAUUGAAAAAGAAUUGCUCAGCAUGACCUUCACUUGUGAAAGAUUUCACCUGUUUGUUUCAGGACUCUCAGUGGAAACUGACCACAAACCCUUGAUUGUAUUGUUCCAGAAGCCACUCAAUAAUUGUCCAUUAAGGAUCCAAAGAAGGAUGAUCUGACUGCAACGCGACGCUCUCAACGUGACGUACACACCUGGUAAACUGAUGUAUACAGCUCAUGCAUUAUCCAGAGCUGUUGACCCCAUCUCUUAAACUCAUCACAGAUACAUUCGGGAACAUGUUCAACUGAGCAACCAAUCAGAAAUACAUUCCAUAUCUGCAACAAACAUUCAAUUUCAGACCCACGUCAAACAAUAGCUUCAGGUGAUGUGAAUCUCAAACUUGAGUAAGGACCCACGAAAAUGUUGCUAAUCACAGUUAGCAUCGCAACGGAGCUGCUCAAUUUGCUCCUCCGUGCAGUUUGACUCCAAAGGUUUACUGUCCGGUGCUCUUGCACCUACCUAUGGUGUAUGUGUAAAGAGUAAAUAAUACUCUUCAUAAGUAAUGUAGUAUGUAUGGGGGCAAGAAAGUAACCUCACAAAAUACGCAAAAUGAAAGAAUUUUUUUAAACCGCUAAAUGUGAGUUAACACCAAAUUAUUAAAACAAUAAAUAAAUGUAAAUAAAUGUUUCUCUGUGUUAUCUGGUGGAAACAAGCCAGGAGCAGAUGCUCCGCGGCAGUGUGACAGGAGCAAAAAGGGCCACACAUUUGGUACAUUUUUUCAAGACACUUUUGGGUUUAGGAACUAGCCUUGCCUAACAAUGAUAUAAGUGGAGAUGCUGUGGAUUGAACCCAGGACCUCAUACAUGCUAAGCAUGUGCUCUACCACUGAACUACAUCCCCUAAUUAGCAGCAGUUCGUCUCAGUGAGGACCAAACCCAUGGACACAAGAAAAGCAAGAAUGGGCUCAGAGCUGAUCCCUGAUGGACUCCUACUCUCAUCUUGAAGCCCUCCUUCACUCAUAAAGCACCCCUCACCACUCUCUCGCCGUCCUCACACACGUUCUGCACAACCCUCACACACUUCUCUGAUGCUCCUGACCUUGUUAUGUCAUUGCAUAAUCACAUGUUAUAUUGUCAGUACUUAAGAGUACAAUUCGGGAAAUCUUUUGAUGCUUCUGAAUGCAAACUCACUAACAUUUUCCUGCGACUGGUACAAUGUGCACAGUGGAGAUUCUUAUGAAUCAGACAACAUUAAACAUAUUGAGCAUUUUUAUUAAUAACUCAACUUCAAACUCCAGUUAUAUAAUCUCUCAGUGAACAUUGUCCUAUAUACUUGUACUCAAUAUACUCUCACUGCUCUGCAACAUUAUUAACACAUUCAUAGUAAAACAAAAUAGGAUCGCUUGCUUAGUUUUGGUGUGUGGGAAGAGGUUGGAGAAGAAAAUGAUCACUCAUUUCCCAGCACCAAUGGAAGGUAGGAUAGAUCUUCUCAGGCUGUGUUUGGUCAAUUUAACAUGACAUGCACUUUUGUGCAAAUGCACAACAGCUGCCUCCUUUCCAGUGUUCACAGCCCACAACACUAAAUGUGGACAUGUGUGUGUGAGUGAUGAUGUGUGUCUGGUGCGAGGAACGCCCUCCAUCCAGUCUCUGUUUCAUGUGUCUGUGCUUUGAAUAACUUGAUGCAAACCAUGUGAAGCGGUGCUGAGACGAUGUUAUGCUGAUGCUGAUCUGGAAUAAACCAAAGCUGCAUCCCACUACUUUUAUGGUUCUUUUUGCUCCCGGCUCUACGCCCUGAAAAGUGUAUAACUCGCUGGCCGGACAACAUGUCAACACAAGGGAACCAAGCAGAAGAGGACCACACCUGGUUACAUAACUGGUGUCUACAAAACGCUCAAGUUUUCAGUUGGAAACAAGAGGUGGAACCAAAGAGAAUCCUGCUGGAAAUGGAGACCGAUAGAGCACGUACACCAAAAUAUAUUCAUGAAUUAAUCAUGGAAAGUAGUACCGGAUUGAAGGGUAAGGAAAUGAAAUCAGAUUCAAAUAAAAUGCUGGUAUACAGCUGGGAAUAUGAAGUUUCACCUCUAUGUUCACAGGACAGGGAAGCAGGAGAGGCUGGACACAGAACAAUGUUGGCACCCCAGAUGAAGAAACAAAAGGAGGGAUGACAUUGGAUACACACGCGUUACAUCAGGAAAAAAAGAUAUAGCAGCAGAGAAGGGAGAAAAUACCCUGUGAAUUGCGGUGGCAUUUAGUUGGAUUGGUUGGAAGAAAAACUU